AUGUUUGCGGCUCAAUCCAGAUCACGUGCAGACAAUUGCCGUGCUGCCCUUUCCAAUGCCCAAAAGGGCUCCCAAUCUGCCGCAGCCUACUUUGGUCAGAUGCGAGCGCUUGCAAACGAACUUGCCAUUGCUGGAAAGCCGCUUCUUGAGGGGGAGUUAAUCUCUUUUCUCAUCUCUGGCCUCAAUAUGGACUAUCAACCUCUUAUAUCCGCAUUAGAUGUCUGCACCGAGCCUCUCUCCGUUGAUGAUCUGUUCGGCAUGGUGUCGAACUUUGAUCAAAGGGUGGAGAUGUUCCACGGCUCUGGAUCGGGUGCCUUCAAAACAUCCGCCAACGCCGCCUCUUGA
rnacentral:rRNA from 1 species